rnacentral:lncRNA from 1 species
UUUGCAAUCAUACCACAUCUUCUUUUAUAUAUAUUUACUAUAUAUAUAUAUAUAUAUAUAUAUAUAUAUAUUUAUCAUAUGUUUAGUAGUAAAUACAGUAGUUUUGCAUAUGUGAUAAAUAGCCUGUUGUUUAAUCCAUAUCGCGCAACUUUGAUGCGCACUCUUUAUCGCAUACCCUUUAUCACACCCCUACCCUUUAUCGCAUACCCUUUAUCACACCCCUACUUUUUUUUUUUUUUUUUUUUUUUUUUACAUAAAGUCAGUUUUUUUUUUUUUUUUUUUUUUUUUUUUUGCUUAAGAAAAAUUUUCCUCAAAAUAGGUAAAUUUUUUGAAUGACGUCAUUGUUUGGUAUGCGACGUCACGAACGUCGAGUUUUCAUAUUGUAUGUGACGUCACGAACGUCAAGUUUUUAUAUUUUUUGGCAAACUAAAUGCAACUAUGAAAAAUACAAAACACACAAAUUAAUACAAUAAUAAACAAAAUGUUUUUAAAACAACAGCACGCAAAUUGUAAGGUAACCCAGGUGCUUCGGAUAAGUAAUUGAGCAGUUCUUUUAAGGCCUUUCAAACAAGACAAAAGUAGAACUGAAGGUAACCCAGUGCUAUGGAUCAGAAAACAGUUCAUAUAAUAUAAUACUCUUCUGUUGAAAUAUAUGAUAAAGUGUAUAAUACAUGGCAAAAUCCGUAUCACAUGCCGUAUCACCCUCGACAAAUAUCAUCCCUCGGGCCUAAAGGCCCUUGGGCUGAUAUUGAUGUCUCGGGAUGAUACGACAUAUGAUACGGAUUUUGCCAUGUAAUAUUCUCUAUUUAUCCUAUGUUUAGUAGUAAAUACAGUAGUUUUGCAUAUGUGAUAAAUAGCCUGUUGUUUAAUCCAUAUCGCGCAACUUUGAUGCGCACCCUUUAUCGCAUACCCUUUAUCACACCCCUACCCUUUAUCGCAUACCCUUUAUCACACCCCUACUUUUUUUUUUUUUUUUUUUUUUUUUUUUUUUUACAUAAAGUCAGUUUUGUUUUUUUUUUUGCUUAAGAAAAAUUUUCCUCAAAAUAGGUAAAUUUUUUGAAUGACGUCAUUGUUUGGUAUGCGACGUCACGAACGUCGAGUUUUCAUAUUGUAUGUGACGUCACGAACGUC